CAUAUAUGAGUUUUCGUAAAAGCAACAAUACAAAAUCUUAAACUAUAAAAGUGCCACUUUGUCCCACUAUUAUGUGCAGGCCUGGCAUUUUGCACUGGGCUAUAGAACUACAAAAUGAAUUUUAAAUUACCAAUAUCAUGAUUGAAUGACAUUUUGAAUUAUGUAGUGAUCUAAUUCUAUCCACCAAGCAAUUGUAUGUGAAUGUGUGAGACUUAUGGUCAUGGUUAUAGGGAAAUAACAAGAAGAACAAAGUGCAGUAAACGGUAAAACUGUUUGCACUACAAACCAGUACGUUCAUAAUUAAGACAAUACAUUAAAAAUAACACAGUAAGAUACAGCAGUUUGCAACAGUACAGCAGUUUGUACAGCUAAUAUAGCUGGAAUGACACCGAAAGCCAGACACAUUAAAUUUACAAAUGGCCGCGCCCCCUCUUACAGAAAAAAAAUAAGGGGCAUAUGUUUAUUCAUAUGUUUAUUUAUGUAACGUAAGCGUGUGACUUUUAAUUCGUGACGUGCUUUCAUGGGCGUGCGCGCGGACCGGAUGGAGUUGCCAUGGAAACGGAGCGCAACACUGCAAAUGUCACGAGGAAACACCCCGUUUCUCGCUGAUUUCACUGUUUUCAGGUGAGUUAAGUCCAUAAAAUCACACAAAUAUUACUUAUAACUGUUGUUGACACUUCUCUUACUUGUAUUUGACUCGCUUCUGUUGUUUAUUUACUUUAUAAGAAUGGUUUAAUGUCUUCGAAAAAGUCCGUUAGCGUUUCUACCGUUUUCAGACGACGUAUCGUCAGAAGGGAGUGUCCAAGAUUUCAAUAUUUCUGAAGGGAGCUGCUGACAGAGAUGUAGGAAGCGCUGAAAAGAUUCUUCAGUGCUGAUGGCCUGCUGCAUCCAGCAGAGUCAGAGUGAACCUACUGUAAGACAACAUCUCCAAGAUGCUAUUGACCACAAGACUAGUACAGUAAGUCAAACCUCAAAUAUACAGUACACUAGUGUUCAAAAGCUUGAAGUUGAUACAAUUUGUAAUAAUUAUCUUC